AUGUUAAAAAAUGACAGCUUUUUUUUUUUUUUUACAGGACGUGACCCGGUGACCGUACACACCCCCAUCCCCAUUCAGGCAUGGGUGACAGAUGAUACCAUCAGGGCCCAUGUGGGGGUGGCCCAAGCUGCAACUCRGUGGAMAUGGAAACACUAUUUACAAGCCCGGUUUAAGGCAGGGAGAAAGGACAUGAGCACCCCGCAUGCAACCUUGUUAGGGGAGGUACGUUUUGAGCACAUGCCUCUAUUGUCAGAGCCAGAGGGSCUGCCCCCCCUUGCUCCCCCAAUAGAGCCAUCGCCUGUCCAAAGGCCCCUCCUUUUGAGACGUUAUCUCCUGAGCAACGAGAGUGGGCCUGGUUUUCUGAUGGCAGUGCAGUGUAUUCCUGGGCAGGAGAGCGAGUGUGGCGCUCUGUAGCAURUAAUCCUGCCACGGAUACUAUCUGUUUUGCCUCAGGAACGGGAUACUCAAGUCAGUGGGCUGAACUAAAGGCUGCAGCUAUAGCUCUCGAUGAGGGAGAUGCACGCUACCUCUAUUCGGAUAGCUGGGUAGUAUACAAGGGUCUGCGAACCUGGUUACCAACAUGGGCCGCUGCACAGUGGAAGAUACAUGAUAAGGAACUCUGGGGGAGCCCCUUGUGGGAAAGGAUUUGGGACAUUGUGCAAACUAAAUCUGUGUCUGUGCAACAUGUCGAUGCCCAUCAGAAGCAGACCCUCGAAACUCAGCAUAACACAGCAGUCGACCAGAUGGCAACUCCCUCARAGUUAAAGCAAGCUUGGCAAGCGCAWGAACGAUCAGGGCAUCGUGGCCCCAUCACAGCUCAGGCUUGGGAUCUAUCAUGAGGCCAUCUCAUGUUAGCCCUACAUUGGUAUAAGACAGCCCGUGCUAACUGUCCCRUUUGYAUGAAGAUAACARAAGUGCCUUUCACCAGCACAUACGGUCGCAUCAAGCGAGGCGAACAACCCUUUGCGACCGGGCAGGUAGAUUAUGUAGGCCCGUUACCCCCCUCACAGGGGCGAAAGUAUAUAUUGACUGCUGCAGACACUUACACAGGCCUUAUGUAUGCAUAUCCUACCUCCCAUGMGAAUCAAUCCUCUACUGUACGGGGCUUAGAGCAGCUCA
rnacentral:lncRNA from 1 species